rnacentral:rRNA from 1 species
CCGCUAAUACCCCAUAUGCCGAGAGGUGAAACGAAUUUCGCCUGGGGAUGAGCUCGCGUCUGAUUAGCUAGUUGGUGAGGUAAUGGCUCACCAAGGCUUCGAUCAGUAGCUGGUCUGAGAGGAUGAUCAGCCACACUGGGACUGAGACACGGCCCAGACUCCUACGGGAGGCAGCAGUGGGGAAUUUUCCGCAAUGGGCGCAAGCCUGACGGAGCAACGCCGCGUGAGGGACGAAGGCCUCUGGGCUGUAAACCUCCUUUCUCAAGGAAGAAGACAUGACGGUACUUGAGGAAUAAGCCACGGCUAAUUCCGUGCCAGCAGCCGCGGUAAUACGGGAGUGGCAAGCGUUAUCCGGAAUUAUUGGGCGUAAAGCGUCCGCAGGCGGCCUUGAAAGUCUGUUGUUAAAGCGUGGAGCUCAACUCCAUUUAAACAAUGGAAACUACAAGGCUAGAGUGUGGUA